UCACCCAAAACCUGCUAAAACAUAUUUUUCUAUUUUACAGAUAAGAAAACUGAGGAAGUCUUAAGGACUCAUACUUCAUGGAAGACCUAGUUUCGGAAGUUGAGUUUCUGCACGUGAACUCCCUUAAAGUCUGUUGCAGAAGGAAUGAAAGUUAUGUCCAUGCUCAAACACCAUUUGAGAUGUUAAAGUCAAGAGAAAUCCAAGUCUCCUCCCCUCAUUCCCCAGACACAGCCAGUACUGUUUAUCUCCUUGGACCUGGGCAAAUGCAAAAGGGUCAAAUUGGACUUCUUCUGGGAUCAGGAACGAAUCAGUCCUACAUCCAUCCUGUGAGCACCCAUGGUGUGCAUUCUUCCUCUGUUCCGCAUUCACAUUCAGUAGGAAAUGAACUGAAUUCAUUCUGUGGGAAGUGA
rnacentral:lncRNA from 1 species